rnacentral:rRNA from 1 species
AUUGCACGCUAGCGGGAUGCCUUACCCAUGCAAGUCGAACGGAGUGGCGAACGGGUGCGUAAUGUCUCGGAACGUGCCCAUUAGCGGGGGAUCACUACGCGAAAGCGUAACUAAUACCGCAUACUAUUGGCGCUGCCGAUAUCGGAUUAGCUAGUUGGUGGUGUAACGGCUCACCAAGACGACGAUCCGUAGCUGGUUUGAGAUGACGACCAGCCACACUGGGAAUGAGACACGGCCCAGACUCCUACGGGAGUCAGCAGUGGGGAAGUUUGGACAAUGGGGGAAACCCUGAUCCAGCCAUCCCGCGUGUGCGAUGAAGGCCUUCGGGUUGUAAAGCACUUUUGGCAGGAAAGCGGUACCUGCAGAAUAAGCACCGGCUAACUACGUGCCAGCCGCCGCGGUAAUAC